rnacentral:rRNA from 1 species
AUACGGAGGGUGCAAGCGUUAAUCGGAAUUACUGGGCGUAAAGCGCACGCAGGCGGUUUGUUAAGUCAGAUGUGAAAUCCCCGGGCUCAACCUGGGAACUGCAUCUGAUACUGGCAAGCUUGAGUCUCGUAGAGGGGGGUAGAAUUCCAGGUGUAGCGGUGAAAUGCGUAGAGAUCUGGAGGAAUACCGGUGGCGAAGGCGGCCCCCUGGACGAAGACGGACGCGCAGGUGCGAAAGCGUGGGGAGCAAACAGGAUUAGAUCCCCGGGUAGUCCACGCCGUAAACGAUGUCGACUUGGAGGUUGUGCCCUUGAGGCGUGGCUUCCGGAGCUAACGCGUUAAGUCGACCGCCUGGGGAGUACGGCCGCAAGGUUAAAACUCAAAUGAAUUGACGGGG